GCGGGCGUAGUGUAGUGGUUAGCAUGCAUGCUUCCCAAGCAUGAGGUCCGGGGUUCGAACCCCCGUGCUCGCA
rfam:Aspergillus oryzae RIB40 DNA, chromosome 3.